rnacentral:rRNA from 1 species
GAUGAACGCUAGCGGCAGGCCUAACACAUGCAAGUCGAGGGGCAGCAGGAUUAAGCUUGCUUAAUUGCUGACGACCGGCGCACGGGUGCGUAACGCGUAUGCAACCUACCUUAUACUGGGGUAUAGCCCGGAGAAAUUCGGAUUAAUCCCCCAUAGUACUAAUGAAUCGCAUGGUUUAUUAGUUAAAGCAUUGCGGUAUAGGAUGGGCAUGCGUCCUAUUAGCUAGAUGGUGAGGUAACGGCUCACCAUGGCUACGAUAGGUAGGGGGCCUGAGAGGGUGGUCCCCCACACUGGUACUGAGACACGGACCAGACUCCUACGGGAGGCAGCAGUGAGGAAUAUUGGUCAAUGGGCGCAAGCCUGAACCAGCCAUGCCGCGUGCAGGAAGAAUGCCCUAUGGGUUGUAAACUGCUUUUAUUUGGGAAUAAACCUCUUUACGUGUAGAGAGCUGAAGGUACCAAAUGAAUAAGCACCGGCUAACUCCGUGCCAGCAGCCGCAGUAA